UGGGAGUCUGUAACAGAAAUCAGGGUUUAUGUCUGCAGGCUGCAGUCACACAGAUUGCACUGUGCUGGAUACAUGAGCAGCUGGAUUUACUGAAACAGCAGCGAGACACUCAUUCAAGAUUUCACCAGCUCAUUCAAGGUGCAUGAAGAAUGCCAGUCAAAAGUCACAGUGGGUACACUAGUCAAAGAUGCUUCAUUGUGGUUAGUUUAUAUUUACAGGGAAGUUAGGUGACUAUCACCACUGGCUCACAUAAUAUGAGGACUGAGUGAAAAGAACCAGGACUAUUGCCCUUAGACCAAAAAGGUGAAGACUGCAGACACAAACAGGAAAUAAAGUUGGAAGUGCAAGAAAGAAUCUGUUUCUUUUGAACUGCUGCUGGAUAUAGUUCACUAUGAGUGUUGAUGUGAAGGCACCAAAAAUUUGAAGAUGAACCCCUAUGUCACCUCUCAGUUCAGGAAAGAUCUCUUUCCUCACUUUCAUUUGUUGCUGUUUUUUUGAGUU